GACGGAGGAUGCAAGUGUUAUCCGGAAUCACUGGGCGUAAAGCGUCUGUAGGUGGUUUAAAAAGUCCACUGUUAAAAAUUGAAGCUUAACUUCAAAGAUGCCGUGGAAACUUUUAAACUUGAGUAUGAUAGGGGUAGAGGGAAUUUCCAGUGGAGCGGUGAAAUGCGUAGAUAUUGGAAAGACCACCAAUGGCGAAGGCACUCUACUGGGCCAUUACUGACACUGAGAGACGAAAAGCGUAGGGGAGCGAAAUGGGG
rnacentral:rRNA from 1 species